CGAUGGUAGGAUAGAGCCUCCAUGGUGAUGACGGGUAACGGGGAAUAAGGGUUCGAUUCCGGAGAGAGGGCCUGAGAAACGGCCCUCAGGUCUAAGGACACGCAGCAGGCGCGCAAAUUAUCCCCUGGCAACACUUUGCCGAGAUAGUGACAAUAAAUAACAAUGCAGGGCUCUUACGGGUCUUGCAAUUGGAAUGAGUACAAUUUAAAUCCCUUAACGAGGAUCAAUUGGAGGGCAAGUCUGGUGCCAGCAGCCGCGGUAAUUCCAGCUCCAAUAGCGUAUAUUAAAAUUGUUGCCGUUAAAAAGCUCGUAGUCGAACUUCGGGCUCUGUCAGCCGGUCCGCCUUCUUGGUGUGUACUUGUUUGACGGAGCCUUACCUCCUGGUGAACGGCAAUGUCCUUUACUGGGUGUCGUCGCAAACCAGGACUUUUACUUUGAAAAAAUUAGAGUGUUCAAAGCAGGCCUUUGCCCGAAUACAUUAGCAUGGAAUAAUAAAAUAGGACGCGCGUUCCCAUUUUGUUGGUUUCUGAGAUCGCCGUAAUGAUUAAUAGGGAUAGUUGGGGGCAUUUGUAUUCCGUCGUCAGANGUGAAAUUCUUGGAUUGCCNGAAGACAAAACUACUGCGAAAGCAUUUGCCAAGGAUGUUUUCAUUGAUCAAGAACGAAAGGAAGGGGGAUCGAAAACGAUUAGAUCCCGUUGGAGUCUCUUCUGUAAACUAUGCCAAUUGGGGAUCGGUCCAGGAUUUUUAAUGACUGUAUCGG
rnacentral:rRNA from 1 species